rnacentral:lncRNA from 1 species
UUGCUUCUAUUUCCAGAAAUUGUUGAACUCACUCUUCUACAAUCAAAACCAGGUAUGGGUAAUAUCUUCUCAAUCUCACUUUCCCUCGAUCCCAUCAUUACCCGUUGCUGGGAUUGUGCUACUGGACAAGCAAGUUAUAUAUGCAACCUCGAAGAUAACCUCCAUGCUUUACAAGCUGAAGUAGCAGGACUGAAGGAGCUCAGGAGUGAUCUGAUGAGCAGGGUCAGAAUUGCUGAAGAUGAGCAGCAGCUUAAGCGCCUAAACCAAGUUGAGGGUUGGCUUUCGAGGGCUGAAACUCUGAUAGACGAUGCUGAUCAACUGAUUGUCCAAAGUCCUCAGCAUGUUGAAAAUCUAUGUAUGGGAGGUUUUUGCUCCACUCAUCCUAGGUCCAGCAUCAAGUUCGGGAAGAAAAUUGCCAAAAAACUCCUAGAGGUGAAAGACCAGAAGGAGAAUGGAGAUUUCAGUGAUGUGGCCAGCAAACCCCCACUUCCUUCAGCAACUGAAAGACCUUGUGAGCCAACUGUGGGUUUAGAGUCCAAUUUCAACAAGGUUUGGAGCUGUAUUCAACAGGAACAAGUCGGAAUUAGUGGCAUAUAUGGCUUAGGAGGGGUUGGCAAGACAACCCUCCUAAACCAAAUCAAUAACAAAUUCCAUGAUACUACCCAUGAUUACCAUGUAAUUUGGGCAGUUGCAUCACAAGAUCGGCCAAUUGAGAGAGUCCAGGAUCAAAUUGCCAAAAGAAUAGGCCUUUCUAAUGAAGGUUGGAAAUCUAUUGAAGAGAAAGCUGAAGACAUCUUCCAGGUAUUAUGUAAAAAGAAGUUUGCAUUGUUGUUGGAUGAUAUAUGGGAAUGGUUUGAUCUCACAAGAGCUGGGGUACCUCUUCCAACACAAGAAAAUGGCUCUAAAGUCAUUUUCACAACUCGUCGUCUUGACGUGUGCUGUCAAAUGCAACCGAACAUGGAUAAUAAUAUCAGAGUGGAAUGUUUACCACCAGGAGAAGCUUUCAAACUGUUCGAGGAGAAGGUUGGAUCAGAAACCCUUCGAAUGCAUCCAGAUAUUUGCAAGUUAGCUGAAGCGGUGGUUGAAGAGUGUGCAGGGCUGCCUCUCGCUCUCAUAACAAUUGGGCGAGCCAUGGCAUCCAAGAAGACCCCUCGAGAAUGGGAAUAUGCUACAGAAGUUUUAAGGCAAUCAGCUGCCUCUGUGUUGCCAGGGGUAGGGAAAGAGAUGUAUCCCAAGUUAAAAUUCAAUUAUGACUGUUUACCUGAUGAAAGGUUCAGAUCUUGUUUCUUGUAUUGUUCUUUAUAUCCAGAAGAUUAUCUCAUAAAAGAAGACCAACUAGUAGAUUGUUGGAUCGGGGAAGGAAUUUUGGACGAGCAUACCAAUUUGAGCAAUGCCAGAAACCAGGGACAUUUCAUUAUAGGUUCUCUUAUUAACGCAUGCUUAUUGGAGAAAGAAGGUAAUCACUUUGUAAAGAUGCACGAUGUGAUUCGCGACAUGGCUUUGUGGAUUGCUGGUGAAUCUGAGAACGAGAGGUUUUUUGUAAAAUCAGGCGUUCAGUUAAAGGAACAACCGAAAGCUAAAAAGUGGGAAGAGGUAACAAGAAUGUCGCUGAUGGAGAAUCAAAUUGAAAAUCUAACUGAGAUAUUGGAAUGUCCCAAUCUCCAAACUUUGUUUCUUGGCAGCAAUGAUUUGAAGGUAAUCAUGGAUGAUUUCUUUAAUUUCAUGCCGAUGCUAAGGGUUCUGGACUUGUCUAGAAAUAUGAAUUUGAAAGAAUUGCCAGUAGGAAUUGCAAAGUUAGCUUCACUAGAACAUCUCAAUUUGUCACAGACUGGAAUAAAAAGGUUGCUAGUUGAAUUGAAGACCCUAGCAAAGCUGAAAUAUUUGAAUCUGGAGUGGACAUUGGAUCUAGAAAUGAUCCCACAACAAUUGAUAUCCAGUUUCUCCAAGUUGCAAGUACUGAAAAUGGUGGGAUGUGGCUAUGGAUGUUUAUUGGUUUUGGAGGAAAUGGAGCAUUUAAAAUAUUUGAAUGUGUUGACUCUUACUUUUAGAAGCGCUUCAGAGUUUGAAAAAGCUUCGAGGUUUAGCUGUGCCAUUGAACAAGUAAGACUUCUAUAUUUCAGAGAUUCAAGAUCAUUGAAUAUUAUGGCUUUAGCAAAACUGCAGCAUCUAUGUACUUUAAGCCUCUGCAGUUGUAUGGAUCUAGAGGAAGUGAAGAUCGAACGUAACAUAAUUGAAGGUGCAGGAUGCUUCCAUAGCCUUCGAUCUGUAAUGUUAGACGAAUGCAAUCAUUUGAGGGAUGUGAGUUGGGUAACUUUGGCUCCACAUUUGGAAGCACUAUGGAUAGGUGAAUGCAAUGGUUUAGAAGAAAUCAUCAGUGAAGAAAAACUUGGUGAAGUCGCUGAGCUAAAAGGAAAUUUAAACUUAUUUUCUAAGCUCGAGAUUUUGUUUCUACAUUAUCUGCCCAAACUAAAGACUAUAUACCGCCAUGCUCUGCCUUUCCCACAGCUGAAGGAAAUCAGAAUUGUAAAAUGCCCAAUGCUGAAGAAGCUGCCACUAAACUCCAAUAGUGCAAAAGGACAAAGGCUCGUCAUUAAAGGAGCAGAGGGAUGGUGGAAAGAUGUAGAAUGGGAGGAUGAAUCCACUAAAAUUGCUUUUCUCCCCACUUUCAAACCUGGUAUAUUGUAAGAAAUGUUGGAUACUAAUUAAGGGUUAAAAACCAUUAUUGUAUCAUAACAUGUGUCAUUGCAAGUUCUAUUUUGUUUUUCCCUGAAUUACAUGUAGCUUGGUUUUUUGUUUUACACAAUGACGUUUUCCUGUAUAUAAAAUAAAAUGUUUGAAUUUGAGAAUAUAUUAUGUUAAUGAAUUAUAAUUUGAAGUAUAACUCUCAACACAACUUAUGAUGUAAGAUUAGAUACUAAAUAUUGAUAAUUAUAUUGAGUGACAUAAUAUAAAUGCUACAAUAUUUCAAUAUUUGUAUUUUAAAAUUCAUUAAUACAAAUUACUAACAUUUUAAAAUUUUUAUGAUUAUAGAAUGCUAUUACAAAAAUUUAACAUAUAGGAAUUGCAAAGUUGGUUUCACUAGAAUAUCUCAACCUGUCAUUCACAAAAAUAAGAAAGUUGCCGGUCGAAUUGAGGGCCCUGGAAAAGCUGAAAUAUUUGAAUCUAGAGUGGACACGCGAUCUAGAAAUGAUCCCAAAACAACUUAUAUCCAGUUUCUCUAAGUUGCAAGUACUGAAAAUGAUGAGAUGUGGCUAUGGAUGUUCAUUGCUUUUGGAGGAUCUGGAGCAUUUAAAAUAUUUGAAUGUAUUGACUCUUACUUUUAGAAGCGCUUCGGAGUUGGAAAAAGCUUCGAGGUUCAACAAGUUCUUUAGCUGUGCCAUUGAACAUGUAAGCCUUCUAGAUUUCAGAGAUUCAAGGUCACUGAAUAUUUUGGCUUUAGCAAAUCUGUAGAACCUAUAUUCUAUAAAAUGUACGAAUUGUAUGGAUCUGAAAGAAGUGAAGAUCGAAAGCAACAUAGUUGAAGGUGCAAGAUACUUCCAUAGCUUUCGAUUUGUAGGCCUAACCUAUUGCAAACAAAUGAGGGAUGUGAGUUGGGUAAUUUUUGCUCCACAUUUGGAAAAACUACUUAUACGUGGUUGUAACAGUUUAGAAGAAAUUAUUAGUGAGGAAAAACUUGAUGAAGUCACUGAGUCGAAGGCAAAUACGAACUUAUUUUCUAGGCUCGAGGAGUUGGAUCUAUGUCGUCUGCCUAAAAUGAAGACAAUAUACUACCAUGCUCUGCCUUUCCCACAGCUGAAGAAAAUAUCAAUUGUAAAAUGCCCAAUGCUGAAGAAGCUCCUACUAAACUCCAAUAGUGCAAAAGGACAGGGACUCAUCAUUAAAGGAGAGAAGGGGUGGUGGAAAGAUGUAGAAUGGGAGGAUGAAUCCACUCGAACUGCUUUUCUCCCCUCUUUCAAACCUCAGUAAUCUAUGAAAUGUUGGAUAUUAAUUAAGGCUUAAAGCCAUUAUUGUAUCAUUGCAUACCUCACUGUAAGUUCUAUUUUGCAUAUCUUUAAAUUACAUGUAAUUUAUAAUAAAAUGUUUGAAUUUGAGAGUAUAUCAUGUUGGUUUUCUCUAUUUUUGCUUCUCCCAAAGAGCAGAGCUCAAAUAUUACCUUAUUUCAUUAUGAUGGUUCUGCUUCAAACUUACCUUUUCCAAAGGAGCUGAUGCAUUUAUGGAAGGACUUGAAGUCUUUGCGUCUUGUUGUAUAAUUCGACCAUGUGAAAUUUCACCUGAGUAAGAUAAAACAAAGGAAUUGUCUCAUCUAUAAAUCAAACUUGAAAUGAUAUGCACAUCUGUCAGUAGAUAACAUAAUUUCUUUCCCCUUUUUCAGACCACAUGCCAUAAGUCAGAAACAUAACCAUCGUAGUUACCUUUGGUAACAGGUUCCUCUGUCAAUCCAGAAGACUGCAUUUCUAAUAUACCGACUUCAGGCUCCGUUUAUCAAUAAGUUGGAAGGAUUAUCAAAGAAAGGCUAAAAGACAAAGAAGGCAUGCAAAGGUUUAAUCACUUACAGCAAACUGGUUAGUUAAAUCCUGAUGCAUAUAUUUAUUGGACAUCUCUUCAAUUGGUUCUUUGCCUUCGGACUGCUGUUGUUGUUUCCUUCACUCAGACUCAUACACCUAUUUCACAAGUGACACAUUCAACAUACAUUUGUAUUAGCAGGUAAAAAGCACCAAGUCCCAACAUUACCUCUCAAUAUCUUCGACCAUGAUCAAGAUAACUGUAACCUUCAUCUUUUUUCCUAUGAAAACCAGCUUUAGUCAGCUCAUCUUCAUCACCAUCACUUUCAGCAGCUUUACUCAACUCAUCUUCAGCUGAAGUUCUUCUUUCUCAAGUUCUUCCAACCUUGACAUUAUACUGCCAUGCUCUGCCUUUUCCACAGCCGAAGGAAAUAACAAUUGUAUAAGAAGCUCCCACUAAACUCCGAUACUGCAAAAGGACAAACGCUCAUCAUUUUAGAAGAUGAGUAGUGGUGGAAAAAUGUAGAAUGAGAAGAUGAAUCCAUUCAAAUUGCUUUUCUCCUUUUUUUCAUACCUCUGUAAACUACAAAUGCUGUCUAUUUUGUUGUCAAAUAACGAUAGUUAUUCAAAUAACAAGUAGGAUUUUAUUGUCAAAUAUGUAUCAUUAAACAUAUGGUCUUAUAUUUAGUGGCCUUCGUCUUCCAAUGCCGUCUCUUGUGUUCCCUUUUCUGAUCAUUGUUUAAGUGGCAAUAAUGGUGCUUGUAUGAAUGCGACUGAUUCAGUCCUAUCAGUAAGUGAGAAAAGCAUUUUUUGGAACUCUAGCUCCCAUUUGGAUAACAAAAACGUCCAAGGCUGUAGGUGCUUUAGUUCUUUACUUCUCUUUACAUUCCUAGAACAGGGAUUUCAUUUGCUGAUGAAUUGCUAGGAUGCUUCUCUUUACAUGCUGCUAUUAGUAUUCCUUUCUCUUUUUUUUGAUGGGAUCUUAGUUCUCCUCAAUAAUGCAAGUUGUCAAUGAGGGGAGUGGUUUCCACACAAAAGACAAGAAUUUCCUUGCAUCUGUCAUAACUCCUCAGCAUGCCAAAUUGGAAUUCAGACUUUAGAAUAAAAUUCAGGUUUUAAAAUUGCAGAUUCACUGGUUGAUUGCAAGUUGCCAAUAAGGGGAAUGGUUUCCACACAAAAGACAAGAUCCUUUUAUCUGUCAUACAUAUCAGCAUGCCAAAUUGGGCAUACCGUCCACCCAUAAUGCCCUGCCCAAAGUUACCAAAGAAAGUGGAACCCUUGAAAGAGAAAGAGAGAUGUUGGUCCAACAUGUGAAUUCCUUUAUGAAUGAAUAAAUUCAUAAUAACUUCAAACUUUAUAAUAUUAUAACCUUUUAGGUAUCAAAAUAUAUAACUUUUCUAAAAUACAAGUAUCACAUUAAAAAAAUUAUCAAACUUGUAAAAAAUGAUAUAUUAAGAUUUCCAUAAGUAUCUGUUGAGCAUGGACUGCAAUGCAACAGUCGACGAUGAUGCUGACCAGCAGCUGCAGCAGAUUAGCAUGCGAGCAGGACCAGAAGCAGCUUAGUCAAUUAGUUUACUUUUUUUGUUCAUUUUGUAAUGUUAUCUUAGCUGAAAUGUAACUAAACUUUAGAGUUGUUAGGAUAUGAAUUUGAUGGAUGUAAUGGCUGAAUUAUUCAGCUUUUCAAUUUGUAUCAUUUUGUAUUGCAACUUGCUAAAACUGAUGGGAGCAGUUACAAGUUUAGGUAACUGUCAUACCAAUUUUGUAACACUUUAUAUUUCAAAUGAAAUGAAAAGUAAAUGUAUACCAUUCGGUUACAUGUUUUUGUUUUUCUUUGUUUUUCUCUGCUUGCUGUUUGAGAGCUUAUGCUCUUUGUGUUUCAUUUGUUUUGUUUACUGCCAUUGUUCCAACAGUAUCAAACUUUGUAAACAUUUAUAUAUAUUUUAAUUAUUUUUUGGUACCAAUACAUGUGAACUUCCAACAGUUUGUCUUUGUUGACCUGCGAAUUUUCUUCCUCUCUGUUUUUGUUUACCAAAAUAUUCUCAAUCUUUCAUAUAACUCCAUAAGCAUCUUUGAUUUAUUCCUUGCUUCUAUUUCCAGAAAUUGUUCAGCUCACUCUUCUAAAAUCAAAACCUGGUAUGGGUAAUAUCUUCUCCAUCUCACUUUCACUCGAUACCAUCAUUACCCGUUGUUGGGAUUCUGCUGUUGGAAAGGCUUCUUUUCCAUGCAAACUUGAAGAAAACCUCCACGCUUUAAAAAAUGAAGUGGAAGAAUUGAAGGCGAUAAGGACGUAUCUUAUGAGCAGGGUCAGGGUCGCUGAAGAUGAGCAGCAACUUAGGCGGCUACCCCAAGUUGAUCUUUGGCUUCAGAGGGCUAAUCGUGUGACAACCGAUGCCGAUCAACUGAUUGUCAAAAGUCCUCAGCAUGUUGAAAAGCUAUGUAUGGGAGGUUGUUGUUCCAGGCAUCCCAGGUCCACCCACAAGUUCGGGAAGCAAAUCGCCAGAAUACUCCAAGAGGUGAAAGACAUGAAGGAGAAAGGACAUUUCAGUGAUGUGGCCUACAAGCCACCAAUUCCUUCCGCAGAUAAACGACCUUCUGAUCCAACUGUGGGUUUAGAGUCCUAUGUCAAUCAGGUUUGGAGCUAUAUUCAAAAAGACCUAGUGCGAAUUAGUGGCAUAUAUGGCUUAGGAGGGGUUGGCAAGACAACCCUCCUAAACCAAAUCAAUAACAAAUUCCAUGAUACUACCCAUGAUUACCAUGUAAUUUGGGCAGUUGCAUCUCAAGAUCGGCCAAUUGAAAAAGUCCAGAAUCAGAUUGCCAAAAGAAUAGGCCUUUCCAAUGAAGGUUGGGAAUCUAAGAGCCGUGAUGAGAAAGCUGGAGAUAUCUUCAACGUAUUAUGUAGAAAGAAGUUUGCAUUGUUGUUGGAUGAUAUAUGGGAAUGGUUUGAUCUCACAAGAGCUGGGGUGCCUCUUCCAACACAAGGAAAUGGCUCUAAAGUCAUUUUCACAACUCGUCGUCUUGACGUGUGCUGUCAAAUGCAACCGAACAUGGAUAAUAAUAUCAGAGUGGAAUGUUUACCACCAGGAGAAGCUUUCAAACUGUUCGAGGAGAAGGUUGGAUCAGAAACCCUUCGAAUGCAUCCAGAUAUUUGCAAGUUAGCUGAAGCGGUGGUUGAAGAGUGUGCAGGGCUACCUCUCGCUCUCAUUACAAUUGGGCGAGCCAUGGCAUCCAAGAAGACCCCUCGAGAAUGGGAAUAUGCUACAGAAGUUUUAAGGCAAUCAGCAGCCUCCGUGUUGCCAGGGGUAGGGAAAGAGAUGUAUCCCAAGUUAAAGUUCAGUUAUGACUGUUUACCUGAUGAAAGGUUUAGAUCUUGUUUCUUGUAUUGUUCUUUGUAUCCAGAAGAUCAUCCCAUCGAAAAAUACCAACUAGUAGAUUGUUGGAUCGGGGAAGGACUUUUGGACGAGCAUACCAGUUUGAGCAAUGCCAGAAACCAGGGACAUUUCAUUAUAGGUUCUCUUAUUGACGCAUGCUUAUUGGAGAAACGACAAAAUAAUGUUAGUGUAAAGAUGCACGAUGUGAUUCGCGACAUGGCUUUGUGGAUUGCUGGUGAAUCUGAGAAGGAGAAGUUUUUUGUAAAAUCAGGUGUUCAGUUAAAGGAACAACCGAAAGCUAAAAAGUGGGAAGAGGUAACAAGAAUGUCGCUGAUGGAGAAUCAAAUUGAAAAUCUAACUGAGUUAUUGGAAUGUCCCAAUCUCCAAACUUUGUUUCUUGGCAGGAAUGAUUUGAAGGUAAUCAUGGAUGAUUUCUUUAAUUUCAUGCCGAUGCUAAGGGUUCUGGACUUGUCUGGAAAUAGGAAUUUGGAAGAAUUGCCAGUAGGAAUUGCAAAGUUGGUUUCACUAGAACAUCUCAAUUUGUUAGGGACAGGAAUAAAAAAGUUGCCAGUCGAAUUGAAAGCCCUAGCAAAGCUGAAGUAUUUGAAUCUGGAGUGGACAGCUGAUCUAAAAAUGAUCCCACAACAAUUGAUAUCCAGUUUCUCCAAGUUGCAAGUACUGAAAAUGGAGGGAUGUGGCUAUGGAUGUUCAUUGGUUUUAGAGGAAAUGGAGCAUUUAAAAUAUUUGAAUGUGUUGACUCUUACUUUUAGAUGCGUUUGGGAGUUGGAAAAAGCUUCGAGGUUCAACAAGUUCUUUAGCUGUGCCAUUGAACAAGUAAGCCUUCUACAUUUCAGAGAUUCAAGAUCAUUGAAUAUUAUGGCUUUAGCAAAACUGCAGUGUCUAUGUGGUUUAAGCCUCUGGAGUUGUAUGGAUCUAGAGGAAGUGAAGAUCGAACGUAACAUAAUUGAAGGUGCAGGAUGCUUCCAUAGCCUUCGAUUUGUAAGGGUAGUCCUAUGCAAUCAUUUGAGGGAUGUGAGUUGGGUAACUUUUGCUUCACAUUUGGAAGCACUAUGGAUAGAUGAAUGCAAUGGUUUAGAAGAAAUCAUCAGUGAAGAAAAACUUGGUGAAGUCGCUGAGCUAAAAGGAAAUUUAAACUUAUUUUCUAAGCUCGAGAAUUUGUAUCUAUCUCGUCUGCCCAAACUAAAGACUAUAUACCACCAUGCUCUGCCUUUCCCACAGCUGAAGCAAGUAUACAUUAGAGGAUGCCCAAUGUUAAAGAAGCUCCCACUAAACUCCCAUAGUGCAAAAGGACAGAGGCUCGUCAUUACAGGAGAAGAGGGAUGGUGGAAAGAUGUAGAAUGGGAGGAUGAAUCCAGUCGAAUUGCUUUUCUCCCCACUUUCAAACCUUGUAUAUUGUAAGAAAUGUUGGAUACUAAUUAAGGGUUAAAACCAUUAUUGUAUCAUAACAUGUGUCAUUGCAAGUUCUAUUUUGUUUAUCUCUAAAUUACAUGUGGCAAUGACGUGUUUCUUUAUAUAAAAUAAAAUGUUUGAAUUUUAGAAUAUAUUAUGUUAAUGAAUUAUAAUUUGAAGUACAACUCUCGAGGUGUAUGGAUCUAGAGAAAGUGAAGAUCGAACGUAACAUAAUUAAAGGUGCAGGAUGCUUCCAUAGCCUUCGAUCUGUAAUCCUAGACGAAUGCAAUCAUUUGAGGGAUGUGAGUUGGGUAGCCUUUGCUCCACAUUUGGAAGUAUUAAGGAUAGCUGAAUGCAAUGGUUUAGAAGAAAUCAUCAGUGAAGAAACACUUGGUGAAGUCGCUGAGCUAAAAGGAAAUUUAAACUUGUUUUCUAAGCUCGAGAUUUUGUGUCUACGUAAUCUGGCCAAACUAAAGACUACAUACCAUCAUGCUCUGCCUUUCCCACUGCUGAAGAAAAUCAGAAUUGUAAAAUGCGGAAUAUUGAAGAAGCUCCCACUAAACUCCAAAAGUACAAAAGGACAGAGGCUGGUCAUUGAAGGAGAGGAGGGAUGGUGGAAAAAUGUAGAAUGGAAGGAUGAAUCCACUCGAAUUGCUUUUCUCCCUUCUUUCAAACAUUAUGUAAUCUAGGAAAAGUUGGACAUUAAUUAACGCUUAAAGCCUUGAUUGUAUCAUAACAUAUUGUUAGGGAUCGUCCCGAUUAAACAAGUAACAAAAAUAGCGGAAUAAAUUGAGAAAUUGAACACACAAAUUUAACGUGGAAAAAUCCCUCCAAAGAGGAUAAAAAACCACGGGCAAAGAUAAUUUUAUUAUAAUGGCAAAAGAAUGAAGAGUACAAAAGAUUGGAGAUAAAAACUAAACCCCGAAAACCCGAAAAACAAAGAAUCCUCAAAACGUAAACACAAAAUUCUCUGAAUGUGUUAUGAGUUCUAAUCUAAUGGGUGUAUUUCUUAAGGUUGUAAAAGAGCCUAUUUAUAGACUAAAUUCAUAUGUCAAAUAAUAAUAAAAUAAUCUAAACUAAUCAGUGUUUGACUGAAAUAAAUAAACAAAGUUUAACUAAAAGAUUAUUUUUCUAAUUUGACUACAAAUAGGAGUCAUACUUAACACAUAUCUAAUUGUAAGUUCUAUUUUGCUUAUCCUUAGAUUACAUGUAGUUUGGUUCUGUGUUUUACACUGACACUUUUUUUCUUUAGUAUGAAUUUGAAAAUAUAUUAUGUUAAUGAAUUAAAAUUUGAAGUAUAACUUUCAACAUAUCAUAUCAUUUUCUUUUAAUUUUAUAACUAAAAAUUUCCAUAAUUAUAGUAAAAUUAAAACUUUUCUUAUAAAUGUUGUUUUAGGUUGUAUUUCUGUAUAUUUAAAUAUGAGAUAAUUUUUUAUAGGAGAGAAAAUGUAUUAAAUAUAAAUUUGGAAUUUUAAAAAAUUAAAAAUUUAAGUUUUAAUAAGUUAAUAAAAUAUAAUUUAUUUUCAUUUAUUAUACAUGUUAUCAACAAAAAAAAAACUUAUCAUAUAAGAUUAGAUACUAAAUAUUGAGAAUUAUAUUAUAAUAAAAUAACGGUGACAUAAUAUAAAUUUCAAUAUUUUUAUAUUAAAACUCAUUAAUACAAAUUAUUAACAUUUUAAAAUUGUUUAUGAUUAUAGAAUCUGAUAUCAUGCAAGUACAAAAAUUAACAUAUUCGUUUCAAUGUUGAAAUAUGGUUAAAUGAUUAGAACGUGAGUUUGAGCAAAAAAUAAAUACAAAUUAUUUUUUGAUUCACACGUUUAAGAGACUAUAAUUAAGCAGUAAUUGGAAAUGUAUAAAAAAAUUUAUUAUUUAUAUUGGUUUUUGUUUAAUAAUUUUCUUUAAAAGACACCAACUUAAGCAUUGUUUCGAUAUCAUAUAUGAGCCCGGUUUAAUCUGUGAACAUCUUUAUUCAAACCCGAUUACUUAAAGUGAGAUUAUGUAUAUGAAUUCUCUAAAAUUAUAGACUCAUAAACAAGUUAUUGCAAUUAAUACUCAAAUGGCAGUCUCUGAAUUUAAUAAGUUACAGCAAACUGAUUAGUUUAAUGUUUGAUGAGUACAGUUAUUAGACAUCUCCUACUUCCUUUGCAUUUUGAAUUUAGCCCCUCUUGUAACACUAAAAUAACAUUAACAGGUAAAGACUGUGCACAGAGGUAAGCAUACUAUGCCCAAUUUCAACUUGAUUUUGUAAUAUUUUUUAUAUGGGUUCCAUGUCUUUAAUUGGAUUAUAAUAACCCCUGAAACAAUUUCUGAAUUCUUCCAUUGGCAUAAAUGGUCAUGAAUUCAGUUACCUUGAUCUUCCACUGUUAUCUGUUUUUUGCUGAUGUUUGUUUAAGUGGCAAUGAUAGUGCUUGUUAAUAUCUCAUACAUGAAUGCUGUGGGAAGCUAAUGCAGGGCAAAGCAAGUUGUGAGUUUCUACCCAACAUGCUCAUCUUAGUCUCUCUUUUCUGAUGGGAUCUUAAUAAUUGAGGUUCUUGUAUCUUUGUUGAAGUGGAAGCCUUUAAAGAAAGAGGUAGGUCCUAACAUGCCUGCUUUUUAUAUUAAACAAACUUUACACCUACUAUGAUUAAUUAAAAUAUGUCGUAUUAAUGUUGCUCAAGUUGUAAAAUAGAAUAAGAAAUUGCAGAUGGUAUCCACGGCACACAAAAGAUGCCUUACAAUGGACCCAUUGUGUCAAAACCAAAUAAAGUGGGAUAAAAGAGAGCUGUGUGCAAUGCAAGUCUUCCCACCAAGUCAAUGAUUUUACACACUUUACUGUAAUUAUCAUCAUAUUCACUAUCUUUUUUCCUUCUUCUUUUUUGUAUCAAAAUGCAUGUGAACUUCCAACAGUUUGUCUUUGUUUUUCUCCCCCUUGUACUCUCAAACUUUCAUAGAACUCCAUAAGCAUCUUUGAUUUAAUCCUUGCUUCUAUUUCCAGAAAUUGUUGAACUCACUCUUCUACAAUCAAAACUAGGUAUGGGUAAUAUCUUCUCAAUCUCACUUUCCCUCGAUCCCAUUAUUACCCGUUGCUCGGAUUGUGCAACUGGACAAGCAAGUUAUAUAUGCAACCUCGAAGAUAACCUCCAUGCUUUCCAAGCUGAAGUAGCAGGACUGAAGGAGCUCAGGAGUGAUCUGAUGAGCAG